CGAUAGCGUAUAUUAAAGUUGUUGCAGUUAAAAAGCUCGUAGUUGGAUUUCUGGUUGAAGCGACCGGUCGGGCGUUGAUUCGUCUGCACUGGAGUCGGUUUUGGCCAUCCUCUAGGAAAGUGCGUCUGGUAUUAAGUUAUCGGGCGUAUGAUCCAGGUCUUUUACUGUGAAAAAAUUAGAGUGUUUAAAGCGGGCCUUCGCCUUGAAUACAUUAGCAUGGAAUAAUAAGAUAGGACUUUGGUCUAUUUUGUUGGUUUGCAGACCGAAGUAAUGAUUAAUAGGGAUAGUUGGGGGUAUUUAUAUUCCGAUGUCAGAGGUGAAAUUCUUAGAUUUUCGGAAGAUAAACUUAUGCGAAAGCAUUUACCAAGGAUGUUUUCAUUAA
rnacentral:rRNA from 1 species